UUAAGUUUGCUAAAUAUAUCCCUUUUUUUUAGUUGGAUAUUGGAUGUGAAAAGAAGGAAAUGGUUCCUCCAUAACAUUGCGCUUUAGACGUGUGUGAAUUUCCCACACCAGGAGUAAUUUAUAUAGUUCUAUUUUAUAGCGAUCUAUUAUCUGUAAAAGAAAAAAGAGGAACUUGGCAGACCA